rnacentral:rRNA from 1 species
GCAUCGAUGAAGAACGCAGCGAAAUGCGAUAAGUAAUGUGAAUUGCAGAAUUCAGUGAAUCAUCGAAUCUUUGAACGCACAUUGCGCCCGGCAGUAAUCUGCCGGGCAUGCCUGUCCGAGCGUCAUU